rnacentral:lncRNA from 1 species
UCGGGCCAUCAGUGAUUUUUAAGAAUACAGUACAUUAUUAAUAGCUAUAGUUACCAUAUUGUACAAUAGAUCCCUUAAACUUAUUCCUCUUGUCUAACUGAAAUUUUGUGUCUCCCCAGCGGAAUCCCCCAGGCACCCUGGUAACCACCACUCUACUCUCUGCAAAGCUUACGUUUUUGUUGCUGGUCUAUGUGUGAUGGAGGAACUGAAGCCUGGAAAGGACAGCUGACCUCCUUUCCAGAUUCUGAAAGAAUAAAAUCGAAAGCAGGAGAGGGUUCUCUGUACCAGGCCACAUCAUUGAAAGACAAAACCUGAACAAUAAUAAAACCCCAGAGGACAAAAGCCAAGCUUAAGUGAAAUUUGCCUGUUGUGCUUCUGUGCUUAUGUUUGAUCUCCUAGUAAAUAAUUGAAGAGUUUGAGGUAGUUCCCCAGUGGAAAGGUUUCUAGAAUAGAGAUUUGUCUGAAAAUGUUCAGAAGAGCUGUUCAGUAUUCUACUCAGUUGAUUUUAUGGAGGGAGUCAUAGGACUCUCAGUGUUGGAGUAACUAGUUGUGUUGUAGCCUGUCAUGGCUUUGGAGUGAUUUGUUCUUUGCUGGAUGACUAGAUAAAUCAGUAAAGACAGAAUUCAGGAAAAGGGAUGAGAGAUGGAAUGGGGAGGAGACUCAGAUUUAAAGAAUGCCUUGUGCUAGGCCACGUGCUGAGCAUUUUCUAUAAGUCAGUUCCCCAAGUCCUCUGAAGAACUCAAAUCCUUCAGCACAUGUUUGUUCCGCACAGGUUAGCAGUGGUCACAGGCAGGCCCUGAGGGUGGACUGCCUGCCCAGGUUCCUGUGCUGUGGCUGGCGCUGGGCUUUGCUCAGAGGAGUCAAGGAGAAGUCACUUGGCCCCAGCUCUAAGAAGACUUGCUGUCCAGGACAAAGAUUGUCAAGCUGUUUCUCUAAGGUUCAUAGUGAGAAAUCCGUUUUAUGUUGCAACCUGUAGGAACACAUUAGUCCCACAGUCAGAAGUAAAACAUUUCAUCUCAA